GUAGGUGAACCUGCGGAAGGAUCAUUACAAAAACAAAAUCCAAACCACACCAAAUGUGCUCUAUAAAUGCGAAAAGCUGUCUUUGUGUGUGUGUGUUAAUGUAUGUUGUGUAUGUGAGGGGAAGAGAAUUUAUUUUCUUCUCUCUCUCACACACACACACACACACACACACACAAUCCUUCUUUUCUGCAUUGUCUUUGUUUAUCAAUUUUUUCAUUAACUCCUUGUUUAACCAACAACGGAUUACAAU
rnacentral:misc_RNA from 1 species